rnacentral:rRNA from 1 species
GAUGAACGCUGGCGGCGUGCCUAAUACAUGCAAGUCGAGCGAACAGAUGAGGAGCUUGCUCCUCUGACGUUAGCGGCUGACGGGUGAGUAACACGUGGAUAACCUACCUAUAAGACUGGGAUAACUUCGGGAAACCGGAGCUAAUACCGGAUAAUAUAUUUAACCGCAUGGUUCAAUAGUGAAAGACGGUUUUGCUGUCACUUAUAGAUGGAUCCGCGCCGCAUUAGCUAGUUGGUAAGGUAACGGCUUACCAAGGCAACGAUGCGUAGCCGACCUGAGAGGAUGAUCGGCCACACUGGAACUGAGACACGGUCCAGACUCCUACGGGAGGCAGCAGUAGGGAAUAUUCCGCAAUGGGCGAAAGCCUGACGGAGCAACACCGCGUGAGUGAUGAAGGGCUUCGGAUCGUAAAACUCUGUUAUUGGGGAAGAACAAAUGUGUAAGUAACUAUGCACGUAUUGACGGUACCUAAUCAGAAAGCAACGGCUAACUACGUG